ACGGUGGCACCCUGGACAGAGCCUGGGGUCUGAGAUUGCUCCAUCUGGACCCCUGGGAACUUCAGGCACCAGAAUUCCCAGAACCUGGACGUUUUCUUAGACAACUUCAUUUUACCCAGUUAUGGGGGCUGGAUUAUUUCCUAGCCGAAUGGAGUGGCUUCUCAGCCAUUGCUGAAACGUCUGGUUCCACAUGACGCACGUUGGACUGUCAAGACUCUUACACAUCAGGUCCUCACAGACUCCCUGGUGCACUGUGUCCUCAUGAGCGGCCAGGUCUUUCUUCUGCCUCAUUUGUGUGACCAUGCAGACGCCACACUGCAAAUCCAGGGUGCCCUAAGCUCCCGUCACCCUGACGUGGUGGCUGUGAUACUAAAAGGGAGUGGAUUGCUCAAUAAAGAUGGCGGUGGCCAUGGCGUCGGGCUGGCACUCACAAGAACCACUCCAACCUAGACGUUAGCUACAGUGACUGAGCUUUGGUUGGAGCCCAUAGCCCAUCCUACUCUGUGAACAGCUAACUGGUUAAGCUGUAACUGGCUGACUAGUUGGCCAACUAGGUUUUUGUCUAUGCCACGCGCGUGUUUGUGUCACUGCUGUCUGGUCCUGUUGUUGGAGUUCUCAGAACCUGCUCUCUUGUUCCGCCUGCUCCAAUAAACCACAGAGCUUAGUGGGAUGAAGGGACUUUCAGCUGUGUGGGAUGAGGGGCAGCAGAUACCUGGGCCAAGUGCUGUUGGCGGAUGCACAGAGAUGGCCAACCCUUGCUCUGACACACAAGACUUCUGUCCUUUAAGAUUGUCCAGCACUGGGUCCUGCAGGAAGCAGCUGGAGUGAAUGAGGAGCAGGUGUGCCCAGGACAGGGCUCUGGCUCCCCCUGUGACCUCACUAGGACCAGCCUUCGAGUCCCAGCCUCUUUGUUCACUGCCCUGGGCCUCACCUCUCUCUGAUCUGGGG
ensembl:lncRNA